GUUGCCAGAUAUAAAUAUUCCGCGGUAGCUCAAUGGUGGAGCACUCGGCUGUUAACCGAUAGGUUGAAGGUUCGAAUCCUUUCCGCGGAGCCAUUUAAAUUUUAUAUUUUUAAAAAAUAUUCCGCGAUAGCUCAACGGUGGAGCACUCGGCUGUUAACCGAUAGGUUGAAGGUUCGAAUCCUUUUCGCGGAGCCAU
rnacentral:tRNA from 1 species